GUCGUCAAAUACCGGGAGUGGAAACGAGAUGCGCGAGCGUGAUCCAUGCUCGCCUCGCGCUGGAGCACGCCGAUUUUUUUCAAAUAAUCUUUUUUGUGCCACAUUCACCAAUUCCGCGGGAUUUUCAAAAUAACAAAAUUUAUUUUGGUUCUUCCUGCAAGCGGAGCAAUUUAGACGUCUCCAUAAAUAAACCUUCUCGUCAGAUUUCCGCUUCCCUUUUGUAGUAUUAUCACUCUUCGUCGUAGAUUCGUCGGCAGUGCAUGGUCAUGCUGGAUAGGGAGAUAUCGGUAGCCAUUUUACGGCUGAUGUUUUAGGAACUUGGGCGAGAGACCUGGACACCACAUCAGCUGUGUUUUCAAGUUUAAUUUGCGGUACAUUAGUGGCAAGAAAGCCGUCCAUCAUGCCAGCAUCAUCCGCAGCAGCAACAGCAGCAGCACCCCAGCCCACCGCCAUAGUCAACUGCACUGCAGAGACACCUAAAAGAUACCAUGGUGGUUGGUGUGUUGUUGCGGUGAGAAGAGAACUGGGAGCUAGCAGAAAGCCUGAGUUAACUAGCCUCAAGCCGGUGUUGGCGACUUUCGGCCAUGAAAUUCUGGCCAACAUGUCUCCGAAUCUACCAAACUUUGAAAAGAUAAUUGAAUCUGAGACACAUGAGCGCAUCCACCGUGUGUGUGCAUGCACAGUGUGGGCAUGUCAGUAUGUGUGUGUGUGUGUGUGUGUGUGUGUGUGUGUGUGUGUGUGUGUGUGUGUGUGUGUGUGUGUAUGUGUGUGUGUGCUGCCAAAGAUGGCUCUCUCGUCGUGCCGAUUGAAUAUGGUCCCUGAUCUCUUGGCAGACUGCCGACUUUCUGCCGUCGCUUCCAUGUUGUUGGCCCCGCAAGGGGACAGGUGACCGUAAUGGCAGUGUU